AUAGAAUAGAAUAGAUGACUCAAAUAAAUAGGCAAAAGAGUCGUUAUAUUACACAAUAAUCUUCUUUCAUCAAUUCUCAAUUCUCACAUAUCUGUAUGUAAGUUUCUCCACCUUCUCAUUCAUUUAUUUUUUUCCAAACAUUUAUUUAUUCCUUCAAUAAGCUAUAUUUUUCUAUAUUUUUUUUAGUAAAUAUACGUUUUUUGAUAGAAUGGAUAAUUUUAAUUUAAUUUCAGCAUUUGUUUUUAGAAAAAGUUAUCUUUAUUGUGUAUUUUGCUAUCCGAGAACGAGGUUCAUGUGUUGGUUGAACGUCAUGAAUUGUCCGAUCAAUUGACGACCAUCUUGGAUGGUAACCGCAUACAAAAAUUAAUGUAUUGAAGCAUUUUUGAACUCUGACAUCGAUAUUUUCACUGAAUUUUGAAGCAAAAAAGAAAAUGGAGUUUAGAAUUUUGGAGAAAUAGAUAAACCACGGCGAAGAGGCAGCAUGGCGAAGGCUCAGCUACUGCGAGUGUAGAUUUGAAGGGGUUAGAUAUUAGUGUUUAGGGAUAGAUAUGUAUAUAUGUUGAAAAUAGUUGGGCCUUUAAUUAUUACUAGCAAAAUGUGAACUUUGGUCCUUAUACUAUUGAGUAUUGACAAAUCAUUUUCAUUUAUU
rnacentral:lncRNA from 1 species